rnacentral:tRNA from 1 species
UUUAAGUUGUGUUUAUGAUGUCAGGCUCAUAACCUGAAGGUCGUAGGUUCAAAUCCUAC